UAUGGCUCAGGAUGAACGCUAGCGGCAGGCCUAAUACAUGCAAGUCGAACGGGAAGGGCGCCUUCGGGUGCCCUGAGAGUGGCGCACGGGUGCGCAACGCGUAUGCAACAACCCCCGACGGGCGGAUAGCCGGUGGAAACGCCGGAUAAUACGCCAUGGUUCCCCUGUAGGGCAUCCUAUUGGGGAUAAAGCCGAGAGGCGGUCGGGGACGGGCAUGCGUCCCAUUAGGUAGUUGGCGGGGUAACGGCCCACCAAGGCGACGAUCGGUAGGGUUCUGAGAGGAAGGUCCCCCACACUGGAACUGAGACACGGUCCAGACUCCUACGGGAGGCAGCAGUGAGGAAUAUUGGUCAAUGGGCGAUGGCCUGAACCAGCCAAGUAGCCGUGAGGGACGACGGCCCUACGGGUUGUAAACCUCUUUUGUAUGGGAAUAAAGUGAGGCACGUGUGCCUUUUUGUAUGUACCUUACGAAUAAGCAUCGGCUAAUUCCGUGCCAGCCGCUGC
rnacentral:rRNA from 1 species